CCUUGUUCUGUUCAGAGCACAGCAUGACAGUUUGAAUCAGUCCACAGAAACAAUGGCUCAGAGUCUCACAACUGGCAAGCUGUCCUGAUUACUUCUCUGCUUCGGGUAACUGGAGAAACCUCGGAUGACUGGUUAUUAUUGGAACUGGAGCUUUCUGGAAACUACCCCAACAGAGAGAACUAAGUGUGAUGAUGGAAAUUUCAGGCACCACAGCAAUAGACAUUUUGGAGGCAGUACCUACUUCACAAGGCUCAAAGGAUGAACAGGCUUAUUUACAGGUCAAAGAAUUCCAAGAAUACUCCCACAGCAC